UACGAGGGGGGCAAGCGUUGUUCGGAAUUACUGGGCGUAAAGCGUGCGCAGGCGGUCCGCAAAGUCUGAUGUGAAAGCCCCGGGCUCAACCUGGGAACUGCAUUGGAAACUAACGGGCUCGAGUGUGGCAGAGGGGGGUGGAAUUCCACGUGUAGCAGUGAAAUGCGUAGAGAUGUGGAGGAACACCGAUGGCGAAGGCAGCCCCCUGGGCUAACACUGACGCUCAGGCACGAAAGCGUGGGGAGCAAACAGG
rnacentral:rRNA from 1 species